CCCUUAGAUGCUCUGGGCCGCACGCGCGCUACACUGGUCGAUGCAACGAGUUUCUUUCCUUGGCCGACAGGCCUGGGCAAUCUUUGAACAUCGAUCGUGAUCGGGAUAGAUUCUUGUAAUUUUUGAUCUUAAACGAGGAAUUCCUAGUAAACGCAAGUCAUCAGCUUGCAUUGAUUACGUCCCUGCCCUUUGUACACACCGCCCGUCGCACCUACCGAUUGAAUGGUCCGGUGAAUUCUUCGGACUGCGGCUUUGACUCGAUUUCGGUCGAGGCGUUGCUGCGGGAAGUUGAUUAAACCUUACCAUUUAGAGGAAGGUGAAGUCGUAACA
rnacentral:rRNA from 1 species